AAAGUUUUAGUGUAGUUUUAAGU
rnacentral:miRNA from 1 species